UUUCCCGUGAACCCUAAAAUCAAGGUAAGGGUUUCUGAUUUUGGAGGUUGGUUCUGAUUCGAUAGGGUUUGGAUUUGUGAAGGUUUGAUGUUAUGUGGGUCUGUUGAUUUUGUUCAGUUGAUAGGGUUUGAGGUUCUGAUUUGAUAGGAUUUAGGAUUUGUGAGCAUUUGUGAGGGUAGGAAUCCCAGCACCAACUCGAAAGAAAUGAGUUUGACUUGCAGGCGUCCAUGUCAAUCUGCUAUGGGAUUCCUAUCUAUGUUUUCCAGUUGCAACAUGGUUGAACAAUGGACUGGAUUCGAACUUCUGCAGAAAGCGCUUUCUGUAUUUAACUUUUCCAAAGCUGGCAACAAUUGAACUAAACUUCUGCUGCCUUUCAAAUUUCUUUAAUUCUAAAGGAGCUCUUUUCGUCAUGGCAAGGUUGUUCGAUGUAUGGGGAAGGCGGGGGUUCGUGAGACGGGUGCCUCCUCUUCCAGAUCAUCCACAGGAGAGGUCAAUUCCCUGAAGGAGGAAGUGACAACCCUAAAAGGUCAGCUUGAGGCCCAGAACGAGCACAUUAGGGCCCAGGACGAGAGGAUGAAUAUGAUUGUUCAGGCCUUAGCAAUGUCCAGCCUCCAAAUCUCGAUGCCAGCACCUGAUCUUGCUCCAUCUUCGACUUCCCAGCCACUUCGCCCAGCCGAUACCCAGUAGUAUGAUGUAUUAAACCUAGAAAACUUGUAGUUUUUUCUUUUUUGUUCGGACAU